rnacentral:rRNA from 1 species
UACGUAGGCAGCGAGCGUUGUUCGGAGUUACUGGGCGUAAAGGGUGCGUAGGCGGUUUGGUAAGUCUUAUGUGAAAUCUAUGGGCUCAACUCAUAGUCUGCAUGAGAAACUGCCGGGCUUGAGUAUGGGAGAGGUGAGUGGAAUUCCUGGUGUAGCGGUGAAAUGCGUAGAUAUCAGGAGGAACACCUGUGGCGAAAGCGGCUCACUGGACCAUAACUGACGCUGAUGCACGAAAGCUAGGGGAGCAAACAGG